AUGUUCUCUACAUCUCUGCUGCUGCUGCUGCUGCUGACCUCUGUGACCCGUGUUCACUGUGUUGAGCUGACCCAGCCUGGAUCCAUAGUCAUAAAUCCUGGUCAGUCGAUGACACUGACCUGUCAAGUUUCUGGAUAUUUGUUUACUGAUGGGAACUACUGUACAGCCUGGAUACGGCAGCCCGCAGGAGAAACUCUGGAGUGGAUCGGAAGGAUUUGUAAUGUUGGUGACACUGACUAUAAUGAUAAACUGAAAAGCAGGUUUGAACUUACUAGGGACACGUCCAGCAGCACAGUGACCUUAAGAGGGCAGAAUCUGCAGACUGAAGACACAGCUGUGUAUUACUGUGCACGACAAAGGACACAGUGA